ensembl:rRNA 5S_rRNA 5S ribosomal RNA
GUCUGCGGCCACGCCACCCUGACCGUGCCCGAUCCCGUCUGAUCUCAGAAGCUGAGCAGGGUCGGGCCUGGUAAAUACUUGGAUGGGAGACCGCCUAGGAAGACCCGGUGCUACAGGCU